rnacentral:rRNA from 1 species
GAUGAACGCUGGCGGCGUGCCUAAUACAUGCAAGUCGAGCGAACAGACCAGGAGCUGGCGCCUCUGACGUUAUCGGCGGACGGGAGAUUAACACGGGGUUAACCUAACUAUAAGACUGGGAUAACAUCGGGAAACCGUAUCUAAUACCGGAAGAUAUAUUGAACCGCAUGGGUCAAGAGUGAAAGACGGUUUUGCUGUCGCUAAAAGAUGGAUCCGCGCCGGAUUAACUAGUUGGUAAGGUCACGGAUUACCAAGGCAAGGAUGCGUAGCCGACCUGAGAGGGUGGUCGGCCACCCUGGAACUGAGACACGGUCCAGACUCCUACGGUAGGAAGCAGUAGGGAAUCUUCCGCGAUGGGCGAGAGCCUAACGGAGCACCGCCGCGUGAGUGAUGAAGGUCUUCGGCUCGUAAAACGCUGUUAUUCGUGAAGAACAAAUGUGUAAGUAACUAUGCACGUCUUGACGGUACCUGGUCAGAAAGCCCCGGCUAACUCCGUG